rnacentral:rRNA from 1 species
AGAAAUGGCAGUACCAUCUUGUCAAAGCCUGAUCUUGUCAGAUCUCAGAAACUAAUCAAGACUGGGCCUGGUUAGUACUUGAAUGUGAGAACACUGGGAAUAUCAGGUGCAACUGUUG